rnacentral:rRNA from 1 species
UGGGGAAUUUUGGACAAUGGGCGAAAGCCUGAUCCAGCAAUGCCGCGUGUGUGAAGAAGGCCUUCGGGUUGUAAAGCACUUUUGUCCGGAAAGAAAUCCUUGGCUCUAAUACAGUCGGGGGAUGACGGUACCGGAAGAAUAAGCACCGGCUAACUACGUGCCAGCAGCCGCGGUAAUACGUAGGGUGCAAGCGUUAUGNNAUACUGGGCGUAAAGCGUGCGCAGGCGGUUUGCUAAGACCGAUGUGAAAUCCCCGGGCUCAACCUGGGAACUGCAUUGGUGACUGGCAGGCUAGAGUAUGGCAGAGGGGGGUAGAAUUCCACGUGUAGCAGUGAAAUGCGUAGAGAUGUGGAGGAAUACCGAUGGCGAAGGCAGCCCCCCUGGGCCAAUACUGACGCUCAUGCACGAAAGCGUGGGGAGCAAAACAGGAUUAGAUGACCCAUGGUAGUCCACGCCCUAAACGAUGUCAACUAGUUGUUGGGGAUUCAUUUCCUUAGUAACGUAGCUAACGCGUGAAGUUGACCGCCUGGGGAGUACGGUCGCAA